rnacentral:rRNA from 1 species
GAUUUUGUCUAUACCAUCCUUAAUAUACCUGUUCUCAUAUGAUCUCAGAAACCAUGUAGGGUCAGAUCUAGUUAGCAUUUGGAUGGGAGAUAUUU